AGAGUUUGAUCCUGGCUCAGGAUGAACGCUAGCGGGAGGCCUAACACAUGCAAGCCGAGCGGUAGAGAUUCUUCGGAAUCUUGAGAGCGGCGCACGGGUGCGGAACACGUGUGCAACCUGCCUUUAUCUGGGGGAUAGCCUUUCGAAAGGGAGAUUAAUACCCCAUAAUAUAAUGAGUGGCACCACUUAUUAUUGAAAACUCCGGUGGAUAGAGAUGGGCACGCGCAAGAUUAGAUAGUUGGUGAGGUAACGGCUCACCAAGUCAAUGAUCUUUAGGGGGCCUGAGAGGGUGAUCCCCCACACUGGUACUGAGACACGGACCAGACUCCUACGGGAGGCAGCAGUGAGGAAUAUUGGACAAUGGGUGAGAGCCUGAUCCAGCCAUCCCGCGUGAAGGACGACGGCCCUAUGGGUUGUAAACUUCUUUUGUACAGGGAUAAACCUUUCCACGUGUGGGAAGCUGAAGGUACUGUACGAAUAAGCACCGGCUAACUCCGUGCCAGCAGCCGCGGUAAUACGGAGGGUGCAAGCGUUAUCCGGAUUUAUUGGGUUUAAAGGGUCCGUAGGCGGAUCUGUAAGUCAGUGGUGAAAUCUCAUAGCUUAACUAUGAGACUGCCAUUGAUACUGCAGGUCUUGAGUAAGGUAGAAGUAGCUGGAAUAAGUAGUGUAGCGGUGAAAUGCAUAGAUAUUACUUAGAACACCAAUUGCGAAGGCAGGUUACUAUGUCUUAACUGACGCUGAUGGACGAAAGCGUGGGGAGCGAACAGGAUUAGAUACCCUGGUAGUCCACGCUGUAAACGAUGCUAACUCGUUUUUGGGUUUUCGGAUUCAGAGACUAAGCGAAAGUGAUAAGUUAGCCACCUGGGGAGUACGAACGCAAGUUUGAAACUCAAAGGAAUUGACGG
rnacentral:rRNA from 1 species